GCCUGGGUGACUUAGUCGGUUGAGCAUCUGACUUCAGCUUAGGUCAUGAACUCGGGGUUUGUGGGUUCAAACCCCACUUUGGGCU
rnacentral:tRNA from 1 species